UCAGUCGACUUACGCGGAUCGGCCCUUGUGGUACGUCUAACGGAAGAUCGUCGCGAAUUGUCACGAUAUUAUUACGCGAUUGAUUCAAACGAAAAAAUGUGGCUAAAUAAGUGAACGAUUUAGGGGCUUUUGUGGUUGAAAUAAUGAGCGUUUUUGUGCGUAUAUUGUACUGAAAAGGGUGCGCAUUUAUAUCGGCGAGAUGGGGUGGUUCUUAUGGUUCUUCUUUUUUCAUGGAUAUACCCGGAUAAUUACAGGUUAUCACCAUACCACCCAGCAACCCCCGAGGAUCAUUGAGCAUCCGUUAGACACCACCGUGGCGAGACACGACCCGGCCACCCUUAAUUGCCAGGCGCAGGGUGAACCGGAACCCACCAUCGCUUGGUACAAAGACGGAGUCCUACUGAGGACCACCAGCCAGGACUCUCGCUCCCACCGCGUGAUCCUACCCACGGGAAAUCUGUUCUUUUUAAGGGUGAGCCAGGGCAGGAAGGAGUCGGACGCGGGGGUGUAUUGGUGCGAGGCGAGCAACGCCUUGGGGAAGGUGAAGAGUAGGAAUGCCACCCUUACAGUUGCAGUACUUCGAGAUGAAUUCCGACUAGAACCCCAAAGCGGGCGAGUGGCGGCAGGCGAGGACAUCAUCAUGGAAUGCUCCCCGCCCAGAGGCACCCCCGAGCCCCAGGUUUUCUGGAGAAAAGACGGCAAAACCCUGGAGUUGGGCGGCAGAUUGAAACUGGUCGACGGAUUCAAUUUGGCCAUCACCGAUUCAAAAGCGUCGGACGACGGCAGGUACCAGUGCGUGGCCAAAAACACCGCCGGACUGAGAGAAAGCUCUGUGGCGAUCCUAAAAGUUUACGUCAAACCGUUCAUGAUCCAGCCCCCGAAAGACGUAACCGCCCUAGUAGGCUCCACCAUAGAACUCCCGUGCACCGUAGGAGGCGACCCGGUGCCCGACGUCUUCUGGAAACGCCAAGCUCCAGGAGGCACCAUGCCCCUAGGACGCGUCAGGGUCCUAGAGGACCGCUCCUUACGCCUGGAAGACAUCAGCCUAAUGGACCAAGGUCGUUACACCUGCGAGGCUGACAACUCCGCCGGCCUAAUUUCCGCCAGCGCGUUCGUAACCGUCCAUGCACCGCCGGCGUUCACCGCCCGCCCCUCCGCCCAAACCGUCGAGGUGGGUCAACAAGUUUCCUUCCAGUGCCACGUCACCGGUAGCCCAAAACCCUUGAUCUUCUGGUCGUUUGAGGGCGAUCGCACCCUGAUAUACCCCGGAGCUUCCGCGGGGAACUUUGAGGCCUACACGUCCAUAGAAGGCCAUUCCACCCUGAUGCUCAAGAACGCCCAACUGCAAAACACUGGCACAGUUAUAAUAUGCUCGGCGGUAAAUGAAGCGGGCUCCGUUUCCACCAGGACGAGGUUAACGGUGACGUCAAAAGAAGAUCGACCGCCUCCAGUUAUAGUGCGGGGCCCCAGCAACCAAACACUGCCCACGCAUUCGAUGGCGUUUCUUGUGUGCGAGGCCACCGGGAGUCCUAAGCCGGUGAUCUCUUGGUACAAAGAGGGCGUCCCGGUGGCCCCUUCUAACAGAAUCAACAUGUCCAACCCGGAGUUGGUUUCAAUCUCUCAGCUGUCCAAGGAGGACUCGGGAGCGUACACUUGCGUGGCCUCCUCGCGUGGCGGCAAGGCCACCUGGACCGGGCACCUAUUGGUGGAGAACCCCAAGAACCCCAACAUAAACUUUUUCAAAGCUCCGGAGGCGGUGAUGGUGCCCGGGCCCCCCAGUAGACCCCACGCGAUCAACCAAUCCGAAGGCAGCGUGACGAUCUCCUGGGGGCAAAACAACAAAAUCGGCUCCUCCAGUUUGUUGGGGUACCAGAUUGAGUUGUUCGGGAGGGAGGAGGGGGUCACCCCCACUUGGACCGUGGUGGCCAGACGUGUCCCGGGGCCUACGUUCACGCAGCAUCUCCUCACGCCCGGGAUCCCCUAUACGUUUCUGGUGAGGGCGGAGAACUCGCACGGUCUUGGGCCCCCCUCGCCUCUCUCGGAACCGAUUGUGGUGGGGCCGGACUUGGGGCAGAACUGGGGAAGUCCCGAGGUCACUGUCCUAAGUGAGGCACGGGCCAGUCUGGUGACGAAUCCGGAAUUAGUGAGGCUCACUGAUGCCAUCCCGGUCUCAUCCACGGCGGUUAAGUUGGCUUGGGAGGUGGUCGAUUCCACUUAUGUCGAGGGGUUGUAUAUUUAUUAUGUUAGUAUUGAGGCCGCCCCGGAUGUGGCCAAAGGGUACAGCAUGCUUACGGUGCUACACACUGGGACCACGAGCAGUUUCACGGUGAACAAUUUGGAAAAGUGGGCCAGAUAUGAGUUCUUUUUGAUCCCGUUUUAUAAGGCGAUAGAGGGGCAGCCUUCUAAUUGUAAAACCGUUAGGACCUUGGAGGAUGUUCCCACGGAGCCUCCCACUCACAUGGAGGCCCUCCUCCUCAACUCCACCGCGGUUAAACUCAAAUGGAAGCCUCCGGCCCCUUCGGCACUGAAUGGCGACCUGGAGGGCUACAAGUUGGAGUUGAAAACAAACGACUCUGCCACCCCUAGAGUGAUCAGCGUGGGGUCGGCGCCCUCGUAUCUGCUCGGCAAUUUAUCCUCCGGGGUGCUCUAUUACGUGAGGGUGGCUGCCUUUACUAGCGCGGGAGUGGGGCCUUAUUGUCCUGCCUCCACUUUAAGAUUGGAUCCUGCCACGAGAGUCAUUGAUAAUAAUAUGCAAAGACCGAUCGGCGCGGACAUGCAACCGGACAACUUCGUGACCGAAACCUGGUUCAUGGCCCUCCUGAUAAGCAUGAUCCUGGUGAUGGUGAUCCUAUUUGGAGCGAUGUUCUUCGUGCGUCGUCGCCAACUCCUCUCCAAGAAAACCAUGACCCCCUCCAGAUCCAACGGGGGCGUCCUCAGCACCCCACUGGCCACCAAACAGGAAACCCCCCUGUGGCUAGACAAGGAUGUGCCCGACUACGCGACCACAUUCCCGGAAUAUUCCAAGCUCAACCCGGAAUACCCCGGACGCAAUCCGGAGUAUUCCAACGGCAGCUUACCGACCCAAAACGGGAAUAUUAAUUUACACACGAACCCGCUGCACGCGCAGUACAACAGGCCGGAUAAGUUGGAAUACGGUUCGGAGAGUGGAUAUCCGAUCGGGAGGAAGUACAACGAUUAUAAUUUGCUGCAGGUGCAAGAGUAUGCGAGUCCUAACGUGGGGAACGAGCGGGGCUCCCAGAUGGCGGAUUAUGCGGAAGUCGAUGCGAAUAUCGGCAGCGUGAAGGCCGGGAGUGGUAGUACUUCUCCCGCACCUUAUGCUACCACCACUUUGGUUACCGGAAGUAGAAGAGUGCUCUGGAACGCCUCAGCCCUCUCGACAGACGACGAAUCCCCUUAUCCGGCCUCCAAUGGCGGCUACUACAACAGAAAAGUCUACUCCGACUCCUACUUCGCGCCCGCGCACACUCUACGCCGCUCCAAGAAACACCACGACCACCAGCACAGCAGGAAGAACUCGCAGGAGAAAGCGGCGAACCCGCCGGACUUGGUGUCGCCCAAUUCCAGUCACGGGCAGCCGGUUUAUGCCAGGGUGGGGCCGCCCGCCCUUUCCUGGAGAAAUGGGGCGGCUGCGGGGCUGAGCAGUUUCAGUCCAGGGGCGGCCAGACACGUGUACCUCGGCUCCUCCAGGAGCGAACCGGGGAGUAUGUUGUAAUUAGGUGUUCCGGGGAGAGGGAGGUUAACUUAAGUUAAUUUAGUGGAAGUAGGGUUGGGAAUGGGGAUUGAAGCCGCUUCUUCAUUUGGGAUGGAUCCAGUUUCCUGGAUGCUUUCCAUGGCAUUUUAAAAAUUAUUAUUUGAUGUAUAGAAUGUCCUAGUUUCGUAUGUUCUAUGGGGUUUGCCGCUUAUGAAGGGAGAUGGAAAGAUGCGAUCUACUGAUAAAUAGUUUGCCAUACUUAUCUUAGUUUUUGUGCUACAGGGUGAUUUUGAAAAAAAAUAAUUUUUAAUCAUAUUAUCAUCAGACAUAUUAAAGAAGUAAAAACUGAUAUUAGUAGAUUUUUAUGAGUAGAAUUCAGUGGCGUACUCAAAUUUUUUUGGAGGUAACAGUUUUGGCGAUAUUAUAUUAGGACACCCUAUAAAUUUUUUUUUGGAACUUGUUUCCGGUUGCUAAAAGUGACAAAAUGAUUUUUUUAUAUAUUUUACAUUAAUAAUAAUAGAUGGUCGUGGGUAACCAUUGUAAAGCAAACAAAUUCCUAUUCCAAGAGAGUCUGUAAGAAUCAAAUAAUUUGUCUCGUAUUGGAACAUCAAUAUCUUAAGUUCUAGUUGUCAACAUUUUGUAAUAAUUGAUUUUUGGGAGACUCUUAAGUCUGUUUAACACUUUUUUGAAAAUAUUACUAAAAUCUAUUUACUGAAAGUCAAGAUAUUGGAAUUCUUAUACCAAGAGGGUCUGGAAGGAACAAAAUAAUUUGUCUCUUAUUGGAACGUCAAUAUUUAAAGUUCUAGUAGUCAAGAUUCUGGAAAUAUUAAUUUUUGAAAGACUUUGAAGACCUUUUUAGGCAUUUUUGAAGAAAUUAUUAAAAUCCAUACACUAAAAGUCAAGAUAUUGAAAUUUUCAUUCCAGGAGUGACUGUUUGGAACAAAGUAAUUUGUCUCUUAUUGGUACCUCAAUAUCUUAAAUUCAAGUGGUCAAAAUUCUUUAAAUAUUGAUUCCUGGGAGGCUCUGAAGGCUUUUUUAGUCUUUUUUGAAAAAAUUACCAAAAUCCAUGCACUGAAAGUCAAAAUAUUGGAAUUCUCAUUCCAGGAGUGCCUGUAAGAAACAAACUUAUUUGUCUCUUCAUGGAACGUCAAUAUCUUAAUUUCUAAUAGUAAACAUUUCGAAAUCAUUGAUUUUUCGGAGACUCUUAAGUCUGUUUAACACUUUUUUGAAAAAAUUACUAAAAUCUAUUUACUAAAAGUCAAGAUAUUGAAUUUUUUAUUCCAGGAGGGGCUGUUUGGAACAAAAUAGUUUGUCUCUUAUUGGCACGUCAAUCUUUUAAGUUUCAGUAGUCAAAAUUCUUUAAUUAUUGAUUCCUGGGAGACUCUAAAGGCUUUUCUAGUCUUUUUUGAAGAAAUUUUAGAAAUCCAUGUGUUGGAAUUCAAAAUAUUGGGAUUCUUAUUCCAGGAGUGCCUGUAAGAAACAAACUAAUUUGUCUCUUAAUGGAACGGCAAUAUCUUAACUUCUAAUAGUAAACAUUUCGAAAUCAUUGAUUUUUGGGAGACUCUUAAGACUAUUUAACACUUUUUUUAAAAAAUUACUAAAAUCUAUUUACUAAAAGUCAAGAUAUUGAAUUUUUUAUUCCAGGAGGGGCUGUUUGGAACAAAAUAAUUUGUCUCUUAUUGGCACGUCAAUAUUUUAAGUUCUAGUAGUCAAAAUUCUUUAAUUAUUGAUUCCUGGGAGACUCUGAAGGCUUUUUUAGUCUUUUUUGAAAAAAUAACCAAAAUCCAUGCACUGAAAGUCAAGAUAUUGGAAUUCUUAUUCCAGGAGUGCCUGUAAGAAACAAACUUAUUUGUCUCUUCAUGGAACGUCAAUAUCUUAAUUUCUAAUAGUAAACAUUUCGAAAUCAUUGAUUUUUGGGAGACUCUUAAGUCUGUUUAACACUUUUUUGAAAAAAUUACUAAAAUCUAUUUACUGAAAGUCAAGAUAUUGGAAUUCUCAUUCCAGGAGUGCCUGUAAGAAACAAACUAAUUUGUCUCUUAAUGGAACGUCAAUAUCUUAAUUUCUAAUAGUAAACAUUUCGAAAUCGUUGAGUUUUGGGAGACUCUUAAGUCUGUUUAACACUUUUUUGAAAAAAUUACUAAGAUCUAUUUACUGAAAGUCAAGAUAUUGGAAUUCUUAUACCAAGAGGGUCUGAAAGGAACAAAAUGAUUUGUCUCUUAUUGGCACGUCAAUAUCUUAAGUUCAAGUGGUCAAAAUUCUUCAAAUAUUGAUUCCUGGGAGACUCUGAAGGCUUUUUUAGCCUUUUUUGAAAAAAUUACCAAAAUCCAUGCACUGAAAGUUAAAAUAUUGGAAUUCUUAUUCUAGGAGUGCCUGUAAGAAACAAACUAGUUUGUCUCUUAAUGCAACGUCAAUAUCUUAAUUUCUAAUAGUAGACAUUUUUAAAUAAUUGAUUUUUGGGAGACUCUUAAGACUAUUUAACACUUUUUUGAAAAAAUUACUAAAAUCUAUUUACUAAAAGUCAAGAUAUUGAAUUUUUUAUUCCAGGAGGGGCUGUUUGGAACAAAAUAGUUUGUCUCUUAUUGGCACGUCAAUAUUUUAAGUUUCAGUAGUCAAAAUUCUUUAAUUAUUGAUUCCUGGGACACUCUAAAGGCUUUUCUAGUCUUUUUUGAAGAAAUUUUAGAAAUCCAUGUGUUGGAAUUCAAAAUAUUGGGAUUCUUAUUCCAGGAGUGCCUGUAAGAAACAAAUUAAUUUGUCUCUUAAUGGAACGUCAAUAUCUUAAUUUCUAAUAGCAAAUAUUUCAAAAUCAUUGAUUUUUGAAAGACUCUUAAGUCUGUUUAACACUUUUUUGAAAAAAUUACUAAAAUCUAUUUACUAAAAAAGAAGAUAUUGAAAUUUUUAUUACAGGAGUGGCUGUUUAAAACAAAAUAACUUGUCUCCUAUUGGCACGUCAAUAUCUUAAGUUCAAGUAGUCAAAAUUCUUUAAAUAUUGAUUCCUGGGAGGCUCUGAAGGCUUUUUUAGUAUUUUUUGAAAAAAUUACCAAAAUCCAUGCACUGAAAGUCAAAAUAUUGGAAUUCUUAUUCCAGGAGUGCCUGUAAGAAACAAACCAAUUUGUCUCCUAAUGGAACGUCAAUAUCUUAAUUUCUAAUAGUAAACAUUUUGAAAUAAUUGUUUUUUGGGACACUUUUAAGGCUAUUUUCCGAUUCUUUAAUAGAUACACUAUUUCAAUUAAAAUUCAAUAAAUUUUUUGAAUAUUCCGAUAAUAUCCAGAAAAAAUCGAAUAUUCUCAGAAGAAAAGAAAUCUCCAAGGAAUAUCUAAAUAUAAUUUUUAAUUAGCUAAUUUUUCUUAUUAGAAUAUAAAACUACAUGUUAAGAAUAAUAUUCUAGGAAUUUUAACUGGUACUCCAAUUAAUGAGUUAAAAAUUAAAAACUUUCAGAUCAAGAGUAUUCCUGACAAACAAUCUGAGAAUAUUGACCUGAUACUAGUGUACCAAUCAAUCAACCGGGUUUUUCCCUAUUGCUCUAGAAUAUUCUUGGUUUUACUCUAUAUGUUGUAUACAUAUAUUAGCAAAGAGGAAUUUUAUGAAGAAUAUUCCUAAAGGAGUUUAUUGCAUAUUUCUUAAAUUAAUUUAAAUAUACUAUAAGAGUCUAUGAAUGUUUUUUUUUAAUUAAUUAAUGAACGGAUCUGUUUCGAAUAUUUUUUAAUUAAAUAUUCAAUCUAUUUUGAAAAUAUUCUUUAUUAAGGAAUAUUCUAGACCUUUAAAACACUAUAUAUAUAUAUACAAUUAAAUUAAAUUAUUAUCCUUGUUUCUCUGCAGAAGCAUUUUCAGUUACAUUUUUUAAUUAUUGCAUGUUGUCAUAUUGCCUUGAAAAAACUUUAUUCUUUCAAUACCCCAACAAAAAAAAAAUCCAAAACCGACAGACCCCGUGAUCCUGGUGGCCAUCGACUCCAAUUGUUCCAAUCAAUCUCCUGGGAAAAAUGUUCAUUUAGCCAGUUCUGUAUUAUUCUAGUAUAAGUAUUUGUAUUAUUCUUGGAGCGUUCUUCUAAACUACAAAACUAAGUACAGGAUCUUUAUCCUAAAAGGAGGAACUUGAAGGGUCGAAUUAAGUGGAAAAUCAUUUGAAACUGACAAUUUGAAAGUACAGGAAUUCCUGAAAGACUAAGAGACCUCCUCAAACUUCUAAGAACUCCAACAAGCAACUUUAAGGGUCAAUUUAAGUGGAAUUUCGUUCUAAAGAAGUCCAGGAGUUUGUUGAAGUACAGAAUGCUGAAAAACAUGUCCAAAUAAGUCCGGAAGUCCCUGAAAGACUGUAAUAGAGCUUCUCAUUUUUUUAACUGCUUCAAGAAGGAACUUGAAGGGUAGAAUUAAGUUGAAAAUGAUUUUAAAGAAGUCCAUGAGUUCCUAAAAAACGAAGAGACCUUCUUAAACUUCUAAGAAGUGCAGCAAGGAUCAUGUCGAGUAAAAUUUGGUUCUAAAGAAGUCCAGGAGUUUGUUGAAGUACAGAAUGCUGAAAAACAUGUCCAAAUAAGUCCGAAAGUCCCUGAAAGACUGUAAUAGAGCUUCUCAUUUUUUUAACUGCUUCAAGAAGGAACUUGAAGGGUAGAAUUAAGUUGAAAAUGAUUUUAAAGAAGUCCAUAAGUUCCUAAAAAACGAAGAGACCUUCUCAAACUUCUAAGAAGUGCAGCAAGGAUCACGUUAAGUAAAAUUUGGUUCUAAAGAAGUCCAGGAGUUUGUUGAAGUACAGAAUGCUGAAAAACAUGUCCAAAUAAGUCCGGAAGUCCCUGAAAGACUGUAAUAGAGCUUCUCAAUUUUUUUACUGCUUCAAGAAGGAACUUGAAGGGUCGAAUUAAGUUGAAAAUGAUUUUAAAGAAGUCCAUAAGUUCCUAAAAAACGAAGAGACCUUCUCAAACUUCUAAGAAGUGCAGCAAGGAUCACGUUAAGUAAAAUUUGGUUCUAAAGAAGUCCAGGAGUUUGUUGAAGUACAGAAUGCUGAAAAACAUGUCCAAAUAAGUCCGGAAGUCCCUGAAAGACUGUAAUAGAGCUUCUCAAUUUUUUUACUGCUUCAAGAAGGAACUUGAAGGGUCGAAUUAAGUUGAAAAUGAUUUUGAAGAAGUCCAGGAGUUCCUAAAAAACUAAAAGACCUUCUCAAACUUCUAAGAAGUGCAGCAAGGAUCACGUUAAGUAAAAUUUGGUUCUAAAGAAGUCCAGGAGUUUGUUGAAGUACAGAAUGCUGAAAAACAUGUCCAAAUAAGUCCGAAAGUCCCUGAAAGACUGUAAUAGAGCUUCUCAUUUUUUUAACUGCUUCAAGAAGGAACUUGAAGGGUAGAAUUAAGUUGAAAAUGAUUUUAAAGAAGUCCAUAAGUUCCUAAAAAACGAAGAGACCUUCUCAAACUUCUAAGAAGUGCAGCAAGGAUCACGUUAAGUAAAAUUUGGUUCUAAAGAAGUCCAGGAGUUUGUUGAAGUACAGAAUGCUGAAAAACAUGUCCAAAUAAGUCCGAAAGUCCCUGAAAGACUGUAAUAGAGCUUCUCAUUUUUUUAACUGCUUCAAGAAGGAACUUGAAGGGUAGAAUUAAGUUGAAAAUGAUUUUAAAGAAGUCCAUGAGUUCCUAAAAAACGAAGAGACCUUCUUAAACUUCUAAGAAGUGCAGCAAGGAUCAUGUCGAGUAAAAUUUGGUUCUAAAGAAGUCCAGGAGUUUGUUGAAGUACAGAAUGUUGAAAAACGUGUCCAAAUAAGUCUAGGAGUCUCUAAAAGUCUGUAACUGGACUUUUCAAUGUUCUAAGCGCUUCAAAAAGGAACUUAAGGGGUGAAAUUAAGUAGAUCAUCGAAAAUUAAAUUUUAAUGUUUGAAAUAUUCUUCUCUCGGGAAAAAAAUGGUUUUGUCACGUUGUGCAUAAAAAUAAAUUUAGACUAGGCUAUAUUUUUGAAAAGGGGGGGGGGGGUAAAUAUUGCAAUUGAGUUGGUUCAAUUAUAACACAGCUGUCAUCUGCAUAAGAUACUACAGCGCAGGUAGCAUACAAAUUUUGUUUUGGUCUUUUACUGUAAUACCUUCUUUCAGAAUGUUCCUUAAUAUCCUCGGAUUUUACGGCACAGACCCUUACUAAGGAUCGAUUAUGAAUUUAUGUCACUUGUCAAACGUCAAACUUUGACGUUGAUUUGUUCCAGCAAGAAGUGGUUUCAGUUAUGACUGUAUUGGAAGUACCUUCCAAGAAUAUUCCUUGAAUGUUCUUAAAUAAGAAAUAUUGCAGUCACUUAAUGGGUACUAAUUUUGUAAACAUGACGCUGCUCUUAGCCACGCCCCCUUCAACAUAGGUGGGGGAGGGGGGAAAGGAAGAAUAAAAUUAGACGUUUCUAUAUACGGGGUAUGGACACACCCAAAAAUCUUGGGAAAUAUGGGCGGUAGAAAAAAUCUUUGAAUACAAAAGUUUUGGGAAAUUAAUCGGUACAUCGGAUGGUGACCUUAAACUUGAUCUUGAGCUUGACCUUUAAGGUUAUUUGAAGGUCAAAGCAAUUUUUUUAAAUGGGAACCCCUAUUUUUGACACCGGAUUCUGAAAGAGCGGAAAAUAUUACGGUCGGAUAUGUAUUGAGGUAUGAGGUUGAAGAAAUCCCAAGAGGUCAAAUAAUAAGGAUUUCCAUUUGAAGAAAUGAGGUCGACCUUCAAAUGACGUUGAAAAUGAGGUUCAACGUCAAAUCCAAGGUCACCGUUGGGUUCCUCGUUAAGACUUACCUAGGGUAUGGACCUUUAUUUUUUUUUCUUUUACCACUGAACUCGCGAGAUUUUUAAGAAGUCAUUAUUUGACCUCUCGGGAUUACUUCAACCUCAUACCUCAAUACAUACCUGGACGUAAAAUUUUCCGCCUUUUCCGAAUCCGGUGUCAAAAAUAAGGGUUCCCAUUUUAAAAAAUCGAAUCUUGACCUUCAAAUAACCUUGAAGGUCAAGCUUAAGGUCACCGUAUUUAAAGAUUUUUUCUAGCGCCCAUAUUUCCCAAGAUUUUUGGGUGUGUCCAUACUUUUGGGACACCCUGUAUAUUCAUGACAUUGUUAAUUUAUCCUGAAGAUGCGCUUGUCCCAGUAAGAAGUGGUUUCAUUUAUGUGUUGGACGUGAUUUAUUCGAUUAAUUGUAUUGGAUUUUUCUUUAGUUUUAUAGGUUAUAAAAUGGCGAUUUACUUAUACAGGGUUUAUAUUAUUAUUAUAACUGAUAGUUUGCUGAAAUAUGGAACGAGAUAAUCUGUGUAUUACAAUUUUAGAUUCUACGUAAAAUUUCAAGAAAUUUGAAGGGUAACAUGACAUAUUUUGGACUAACGGUUUUUGCAACGACGUUUCGUCUCUAUAACCAUCAUCAAUCAUUUUUUUAUUAUUGGCAGUAUUUCGAGCAUAAGAAAUUCGAUAAGAAGUAAAAAGACGUAAUUUUCAACAUUUUCUUGCAAUUUUAGCUUUUAAAGGAAAGAUCUUUAACUGCUUGUAUCUCUAAAACCGUUUGAGGGAAGUAGGGCAUGUGACCCAUCAAAUUUCACAAAAUUUCACCUAGAAUCUAUAAAUAAAAUAAUAUGAAGAGGGUGCCAUAUAAAAUAGCAAAUUUAGCAUUUGCUUAUGGUCUUUUUAAUCAAGUACGUGCUUAGUUUAUAAGGGAACCCCUAAUUUUUAUUACAUUUUUAUAUUCUCUGUAAAAUUCCAAGAAAUUUGAAGUCACAUGUCAAACAUUGAACCAACCGUUUUUGAUUUUAGCCAUCCGACGUUUCUUCUUUAUAGCCAUCAUCAGCCAUUUUCUUAUGGGCAGCAAUUCGAACAUAAAAUUAGAAACAAUAAAACAGAAUUCAAAAAUAAAAUAAUCUACUAAGAGUGCCAUAUGAAAUAACGAAGUUAGCACCUAUUUAUGGACUUUUUAAGCAGAAACUGGGUUAUUUUAUAUGGGAUGCCUUAUAUAUUAUUUCAUUUUCAGAUUCUCUGUAAAAUUCCCAGAAAUUUGAGGUGUCACAUGCCAUGCAUUGGACCAGCCUUUUUUGUUCUUAGCUAUCCGACGUUUCGUCUCUAUAACCAUCAUCAAUAUUUUUUUUAUUAUUGGCAGUAUUUCGAGCAUAAGAAAUUUGGUGAGAAGUAAAGAGACGUAAUUUUCAAAAAUUUCUUGCAAUUUUAGCUUUUAAAGGAAAGAUCUUUAACUGCUUGUAUCUCUAAAACCGUUUGAGGGAAGUAGGGCAUGUGACCCAUCAAAUUUCACAAAAUUUCACCUAGAAUCUAUAAAUAAAAUAAUAUGAAGAGGGUGCCAUAUAAAAGAGCAAAUUUAGCAUAUGCCUAUGGUUUUUUAAGCAAGAACUUGGUUAAUCUAUAUGGAACCCUAAAUAUUAUUACAUUUUUAGAUUCUCCGUAAAAUUCCAAGAAAUUUAAUGGGUCACAUGCCAUACAUUGAACCAACCGUUUUUUAUUUUAGCCACCCGACGUUUCUUCUUUAUAGCCAUCAUCAGCCAUUUUUUUUUAUGGGCAGCAAUUCGAACAUAAGAAUUUUUAUGAGAAUAAGAGAGCCGUAUUUUCUUUUUAAUUUCUUCUAUAUUUAAUCCUUAAAGGAGCAAUCUUUAACUGCUUAUAUCUCAAAAACCGUUUGAACCAAGUAUGGCAUGUGACCCAUUAAAUUUCAUGAAAUUUGACGUAAAAUUCAAAAAUGAAAUAAUCUACCAAGGGUGCCAUAUGAAAUAACGAAGUUAGCACCUAUUUAUGGACUUUUUAAGCAGAAACUGGGUUAUUUUAUAUGGGACGCCUUAUAUAUUAUUUCAUUUUUAAAUUCUCUGUAAAAUUCCCAGAAAUUUGAGGUGUCACAUGCCAUGCGUUGGACCAGCCUUUUCUGAUCUUAGCUAUCCGACGUUUCGCCUCUAUAACCAUCAUCAAUAGUUUUUUUAUUAUUGGUAGUAUUUCGAGCAUAAGAAAUUCGAUAAGAAGUAAAGAGACGUAAUUUACAAAAAUUACGUCUCUUUUUACUUUUGGUAGUAUUUCGAGCAUAAGAAAUUCGAUAAGAAGUAAAGAGACGUAAUUUAUAAAAAUUUCUUGCAAUUUUAGCUUUUAGAGGAAAUAUCUUUAACUGCUUGUAUCUCUAAAACCGUUUGAGGGAAGUGGGGCAUGUGACCCAUCAAAUUUCAUGAAAUUUCACGUAGAAUUCAAAAAGGAUAUAAUAUACAAGGAGUGUCAUACAAAAUGAUGAAGUUAGCACUUGUUUAUAGUAUUUUUAAGCAGAAACAGCUUAUUUAUCACAUACAUUUUUAGAUUCUACGUAAAAUUCCAGGAAAUUUAAUUGGUCACAUGCCAUACAUUGGAUCAACCGUUUUUUGAUUUUACCCAUUCGACGUUUCGUCUUUAUAACCAACAUCAGCCUUUUUUUUUAAACCAUUUGAGAAAAGUAUGGCCAUUCAAUUUCACUUAGAAUCGAAAAAUGAUAUAAUACACAGUGGGUGCCAUACGUAAUAGCCGAUCACCUUGUAUAAAUCAUUUGCUCGCCCUGUAUAUACAUGAUAUCAUAUAAUAUAAUGUUUACUGAUUGUAUAUUAAUUUCUUAAUAUAGUCUUAAAGUAUGUUAUUAUUGUGAUAUCCUAAAAAAUAAAGGUACAUAAGUUGGUAUUUCUUAAAAUACUCUUAUGUACAAUAAUCCUUGUUUAUAUAAAAGUUUAUAAACAAAUUGUAGUUCUAAGGCCUACCGUAUUUUUAAGGCGUUUUAGCGUAUAUAAAAGUAUCGUCCCAGAAUAUACAUAAAUAUUUUUUUAUGUCGAGAAAACCAUUUUUUUACAAUUUAACCUAAAAAGAUAACAAGCUUAUUACUAAUAAUAUAUAGUAGCGUUUAAUAGUAUAUAAGCCUUAUCUGAAAAACGAUAAUAUAUAAUGUAAAAAAAAAUGAGCAAUAUAAUAAUAAUAGUCGGAACGUAUACGUAAUUGCUGUUAAGGUUUAUUACCUAUAAAUACGUAUAUAUAGAUAUUAUAUAGAACGACUUUCUUUAAUUUUUUUGGGACGUACUGCACACUGUACAUAACAAACUAACUCCUAUUCUAGAUGUUAGAAGACUGAUAAUAUUCUAGAAUGCCUCUUCUAUAUGAUGUGUAAAUAAAGAUUUUAGUUCUAGUCAAUCUUCUCUAUAUCCCCAAAAGUGAUAUUUCCUAUAAAACUAAUUCUAAAAGGGCCUCCCCCCACCCCACUUAUUGACAUAUCAUCACUAUGUAUAUAAAUGAGAAAAAAAAUGGUUUCCCUGGGGGGGGUUUUACUAUAUAUGGUAUUUUCCUAUGUAUAGAUAAGAAUACAUACAUGCAAAAUAAAAUAGAAUGUCCCUCCUACGUAGGAAAUAAGCUGGCGACUUAUGUAUAAUAUAUUAUUAUAUAGUUAGGGAGUUAUAUAAGGUGUUUCAAGUGUGGAAUUUUUUUAAUGGUAAAUUUAUGGUAAAGUUGUGUGGAAUAAUUAGGGGUGAAAAGGUUUUUUUUUAAUUUUCUUUGCACAGUGGGAGAAACUCGUGGAAAAUUGAUAAUUAAAAAACGAGGAAUUUGUCAUGGAUUCCACUAUUAAAUGUGAAAUAUAACGUUUUUUUUUUGGUAUUCGGUCACUCGGGUAUAAAUUUUGAAAAGUAAAAAAAAAUCCAAAUCAAAAAGAAUUUUUUGCCAUGUAUUAACCAUGUAGAGGCAAUAAAAAAAGUCUUAUAAGAAAAGUCUCUAUAUAGGUACCGUAAUUUCCCAUAACAAUAGUCCACUUUUUAGAUUUUCUCUUGCUUUACAAAGCCCUAUAGACUAAAGGUUUGUUUUAAGAUAUGUUCCUGUUAGGUGACCUUAUUAGUUUGUUUAAACAAAUUAUAGAUAGACCUUAUAUAUAAAGCAAAAUAAAUAAAAAAUAAGCGGUACAAUGUUGGGCUCGUAGUUCUAUGGUCCAGAAUGAUUAUAUCAUCUAAAUGAUGCAUUGGACCAAAGUUGGUAUACUGAAACACAACUAUGGUUCAGAAAACCGAUAAUGAAAAAUAAAACUCAGAUUUUAAAGUCGAAAUUUAUUAAAAAAAAAAGGUAUUUUAGGGUAAAUUAACAUACUUUUCAAUAUCCGAUCAAUCGUAUGCAAGCACUUCAAUUACCUAAAAAGAAAACUUAUAACUCCUCAUAUGUAAAAGUAAAAUCAAAUUUUUAGGUUAAACAUUUUACAGUCAAAAUUAGUAGAAAACACAAGAUUUGUUUUUUUUUCUGUUCCUAGACUCGUUGAUAUCAUCUGGUCCUAUACUUUUGUCUGGCUCAACCUUUAAUUUUUUCUUUUUCCUGAUAAUCCGGGGAACAGUUUCUGAUUUUCUGACAUUUUCAAGAAAAGCUGUAAACGAUUUAUUGACCAAAUCAUAAUCAGAAGACUCAUUAACACUGUUGCUGCUGGGAAGUCUAGCUAAAACCUGAUCCCGAUUGAGAGGAUAAAUCCCUGCUUUUCUAAAACCAGACUGUAAAUUGGUUGCAGCAUUUUCUUUUGUUCUCCCAAACAAUUCGUUUAAAACGGAUGGAAAAACGUCUUUAGGGACUGUAGGAUGUCUUCUUCCAGCAGAAGAGCUUUUCCACUCAUCCAACAUUUUUCGCUAAUGAAUUUUAAAAGUUCGGAAAAAAGAAAUAUCCAGCGGCUGAGUUAAGUGAGUCGAGUUUGGUGGCAAUGUUAUGUUCCUCGCAUAAUUUAAUAACCUUGGGACUUAUAUGUGAGCUUAAAUUAUCUCCGUUCAUGACAGAUUUUUCAAAUCUACUGCGCUUUAUCAUGGGAAGUAGAAUUGACAUAAACCAGUCCUCAAAGCUAGAUCCAUCAAACCAUCUGCUUUUACUUCUAUUAUAUCUGGUUCCUGCAGGUCACACCUAUCCCACAUUUUUUUGGCCUUAUAGUUAACAUAUGCAGUACCUAAUUCACCUGCAGCAUUGCCACACAUCAUAAUAGAAACUGCCGCUUUAGUGGAAUUUUUAAUUUUUUCCGGAUAUUUUUUUCAAAUUUUCUAUUUUUCUAUCAAAAUUUCAAUAUUUCUAUUUCAAAAAAUUAUAUUAAGUCGGAUGAGGUUAUUAAUAUAUAGGAGAAAAGGUAUUGGUCCCAGUACCGACCCCUGAGGUACUCCCCAGGCAACAGAUUGAUAUUCAUAAUACUCCGACCCCACACACACUCUCUGACGACGACCCUUUAGAUAUGAAUAAAACCAACUCGCUGCCAAGCCCCUAAAACCAUAGUGGAAGAGCUUCCGCAGCAGAACCUCGUGACUGACGCAGUCGAAGGCUUUCGACAAGUCACAAAACACCGCAGCGGAAACUCCACCACCGUUAAUCUGACAGUAGACAUCACUCAUAAAGUUUAACAUUGCGUCAUUUGUGUUUUUAUUUUCUUGAAAGCAAAACUGAGAACCACUAAGAAUAAUCUUUGAUUUUAAAUAAGACAUCAGACGUUUUUUAACCAAUUUUUCAAGAAUCUUUGGAAGUGUGGACAGAAGGGAUAUUGGUCUAAAGUUUGAUGGUUCAGCGAGGCUGCCCGUCUUAUGAAUUGGGAUAACCUUAGCAGAUUUUAGGCAAGCGGGAAAGGUGCCCAUAACCCAUGAUGCAUUUAUACUCAGAGAGAUGUCCGGCAUGUUCAGGAGUAUUUUGGCAGAUAGGCCAUCCUCCCCGGCUGAGUUUUUGUUUUUUAUAGAAGUUAAUACCUCCUUAAGCUCAACUAAGUCUGUAGGUAUAAAGAAAAAUGAUCCUUGAAUACUGGUGCUUAAUAGUGAUAAAUAAGUAAGUGGAUCUGUUGUUGGGAAACCCAAAUUCCAAUAAAAAAGUCAUUUAUAUGACUAGCAGAACAUUCAGGGACUGCCAUGGAAUAAUUGCUGUAUGAUUGACGGAUAUCAUUAACAAUCUUCCAGCAUUCUUUAGACUUGUUUGUGGCCUUAUUUAGGCAAUUUGAAUCUUUUGGCGAUUUUUAUUAGUCGCCGAUAUAAAGACCUAUAAGAGUUAAAAUAUUGAUGAAAAGCCGGGCAAUUCGUGAACUUUCUUAAUGUGUGAAGGGAUCUCAAAUUUCUACAUGAAAUUUUAAGUCCCCUAGUUAACCAUGACUUCUUGUUCUUUUUUGGUCUAAUUUUCACCACGGGAAAAGAGAUAUUAAAGAGGUUUAUCAAUUUCCGUUGGAAACACGACAAUGGAUCCGUCGAAUUCAACACGCUUUCCCAUCCAGCAGCCACACACGAGUCAUGGAAUCUGUCGUAGUACCGCCUGCUGAAAAUUCGACCGUAGGAGCACUCAGCAGUUUUGGGGCAUUUCCCUUCACUGAUUUCACAGAUCACUGCCUCGUGGUCCGACAUGCCAGAAUUCACAACAGUGCAAUCCACCAUAUGUUCGGGAUAAUUAGUGCAAACAUAGUCAAUGGUGCUGGACGAGAACCGUGUGAUGCGAGUGGGAGACCUAACAUGCAUUUGAAGGUUAAAUGAACUGAGUAAAUUACGGAGGGUCAGUGUUAAGCAAUAGAUUUCUCAUUAUAAUUCACAUUGAAAUCUCAGUCUUUUUUUGCAGCCUCGCUUACUUAAAACAGUUUUUUUUGCCAGGUUCAUCUACCAGAUUGGUUUCGUCGUAGUUAAAUAUCGCUGUUGGAGGAACCCCUUGAACUUUGGCUUCUAAAUGGUCAAAAUAUUUGUUUAUAAUUUGAUCAUCGACAGCAGCUCGGCAUCUCUUAAUGUUACUACAAAUCCCCUUUUCUCCGUAGUAAAAAGCCUUCCAUCCAACGUUUUCCCGGAAAAUUAUUUUGAAACCUUGAUUCAUUGCGCCCGGUACUAUCCAAAUACAUCUUAAAUCAAAUGGAGUCAAGGGAAAGCCACUGUUCUUCUUUCAAAAAUACUGUUCUUCUUUCUCAGUAAAAACGCAUUUCCGUCCUGGUGGGUUUAUACAGUUAUUUUGUAUUGCUUUUAGUUUUAAAAUAAUAGUGCUGCGCGGAAUAUUAUAGGUCUCUGAAGCUUUUCCUUGAGACAUUUUUUAUAUCUCCAAUGCACUGCUCCAAAACCUUUUCGGAAUAGGGGAUAUAGGGCGUCGCCCCUACUUCCAAUUUUAAUCUAGGCAUCUGAAAAAGAAUAAAAAUGCAAUAAUUUGUUUUUUAAAAGCUAAAAUAUGCAAUGUUUUAUUUUUUGGCACAUAACAAUAGUCUGGCACCUAUAAUAGGUUAAUAUUAAUCUUUAGGAAACUGUAUCCCAACAAUGGUCCAGUGAUCAUUCAAGGUUCCAAGUAGCAUUUUUCGUAAACAAAAAAAUUUAAAAAAAAAUAAAUUAAGGUUAUAUCAAUUUCAAACAUCUUUAAUAAGUAGAAACAUAUAAAUAAAUAUACAGGAAAAAGUAUAUAAGGAAAAUCUUUACCGUAAGGGAUGGACAGCACAAAAUUCGCCGAUUAUGAAAAUCACACUUAACUGAGCCGUUUGAUCUUGUAAUUGCUCUGCGUCUGGGACCAUGCAACUGGAACAACUUCUCUAGGCGGUUUCAAUAGCUGUUGUCUUUGCGCGUAGCUGCAUUUUUCGUUCGUUUAAGUAGCGAUAACAUACACGUGAUUUUUUUAAAUUUACGCGGUCUUUGAACCAUAGUUGCGCUUUAGGACUAAAGGUAGGGGAAACUACGGUACGUAACUUUUUUCAAAGAAUCUAUGAUAAUAUGAAAAAAUUUAUUUAUAUAAAAGUUGUUUGUCUUAAUGAGAUCUAUUAUAAGAAAAAUAAAAUUAAAAUUAUUUGCCAUACAGUGGGAGAAAAUGAUAGAUAAAUGUUUAAUCAAAAAUAUAAUCUUAAUAUAAUAAUAAUAAUAAUAAUAAUAAUAAUAAUAAUAUAGACCACCAAGAGCUCCACCUGCUGAAGGUACUGCACAGGAAAUUCAGCCAGUGCUCACCCAAGCGGGACUACCAAGAAGGCGCAUAAAAUUGAACUACGUCUAUUAAUGAAACCAUAAUGCGAAUCUUCUACAGAAUCACCAACAAUGAAAGGGAGAUGGUCGGAUAUCGGCAACAACUUUACGCCGAAUUCUGCGAGAGAUAUCCAGAACUAAAUGUGACCGAACAGCGCGUUGCAGACCAGUACCGUGUAAUCCUAAGGAACAACCUUAUCCCAGAAACUCGAUUAGCAACCAUUAGACGAGAAGUGGAACUUGAACUGAAUAAUAACCCUGCUUCACCAGAAAUACCAAACGCGGAAGCACAAGCUGAACACCAGCUACUUGAACCAAUUCAACAACAAAUGCUCACUGAAAUCCGUGACAAUGAUACGCAAAAUGUUGAAAAGGAUCUUGAAAAACUGCAGGCAGAAUUCAGAAGGGCAUUGGUGGAGUUCGAUGGAACAAAUCCGCUGCUUAGACCCCCAAUACCAAAAGUGAACUCUUCACGUAGAUUGGCAACAGUUCUGGAAACGUUGAACAACAAUAUUUUGCCAGAACACCUACAGGAAGCUGGCAGUUUAUAACAGUUGCACCUGCUGAUCUACUGUGCAGCGACAGUUGUCACCAGAACUCUGGGUGUCAAGCCUAAUGCUAAGCGUGGUAAAAACAAUUUGGUAUCAAGGGGACCACCACCAUGGGCAAGAAGGUUGCAGACCAGGAUCGACUCCAUUCGGAAAGAUAUAGGGCAGCUCAUCGCAUUUAUCGGAGGAGUGCGAACAUCUAAGAUACGAAAGAACGUAACAGCAAUCAUGAGUCGUUACCAGCAUCAUGCCCAAUAUAACCCAAAAAAUCGAACACCUGAAGAAUGUUUGGAUACACUGAAACAAAAAUUAUCGGUAUAUGCAGGACGGUUUAAAAGAUAUAAAUCCAGCAAUAGCAGAAAGCAGGACAACGCGCUUUUAGUACGCUCGGAGAAAUCUUUUUAUAGAAAACUUAAGUUUUCAACCAGUCCUUGCGAAAAUAACUAUCCAAUCAACGAUAAAAUUUCAACAUUCUGGAGUAGUCAAUUAACAACGACAACACCAUGUAAUAACCAGGCAAGUUGGAUAGAUGAAGAGCGACACAAGUCUCAACUUUUCGAGCAAAUGCAUCAUCAGCCAUUUACCGCUGAAGAGGUCUCCACUAUAAUUAAAGGCCUUCACAACUGGAAAGCCCCUGGUCUAGACCACGUACAUAAUUAUUGGAUCAAAAAGCUGUGGUCAACCCACAUAUACCAACAUUUCGAGGACAACAACAUUAUUGCUGUUCAACAGAAAGGAUGUGCUAGGGGAGACAUGGGCUGUAAGGAGCAAUUGACCAUCGACUCCGUAAUUUGCAACCAGGCCUAUAGUAAUAAGAGAAAUCUCUACACCGCCUAUGUCGAUUACAAGAAGGCCUUCGAUUCUAUCCCACAUGAAUGGCUUAUUGAUGUCCUUAGGAUAUAUAAAAUAGAUGAACGCAUUGUGACUCUACUGGAGAGCACAAUGGCGAUAUGGAGAACAACUAUGCAUCUACAACUUCCUACUGGAGAGAGUAUUGAGACAAACACAAUACCGAUCCGUAAGGGUAUAUUCCAGGCUCUCUGAGUCCACUUUGGUUCUGUCUAGCCAUGAAUCCUCUAUCAUCUCGACUCAAUUCCACCUCUUACGGCUUUGCUAUUAAGAAGAAUAGUAGGGAAAUCGCAAGAGUCAAUCAUUUGCUCUCUAUGGACGAUCUAAAGCUAAUGGGUGCCACUAGUAAUCAACUGGAUCAGAUGCUGAACAUCGUGGAGGAAUUCUCUGCUGAUAUCAUCUUAACAACAUUGUACGAGGAAAGAUGCAGCCGGGAUCCUGCGAGAUGCAGGAUGGCCAAACUAUAGAUGCCAUGGAAGAAGGUGAUACAUCCAAAAACCUGGGAAUGGUGCAGGCAGCGCGAAUAGACCACCGAACAAUGAAAGAUAAACUCACUGCUGAGUUUACAACAAGAGUAAAGCACAUAGUGAAAACGAGCCUCAACAGUAAGAAUCUAUUUAAGGCGUUGAAUACGUAUGCCUGUACAGCACUAACAUAUUCCUUUGGAAUUGUGGGAUGGAGCAAGACGGACAUCCAGAACUUGCAACGGAAGGCACGAACAUUAUUGACUAAGGCUCAAAAACACCACCCUCGAAGUGCCACAGAAAGAACUACGCUACCAAGACAUCAGGGAGGUAGAGGAUUGGCAGACAUUGGCAAACAGUUAGACCGACAAAUUUCAGUUCUGAGAAAUUUCUUUCAUGAAAAGGCUAGAUCGUCCGCUCUGCACCGUGCUAUAUGCGAGGUCGAUGACUCUACACCUCUGAAACUGAAGAAUCGCGAAAAUAAAAGUCACCACGUCACUGAUGAAGAAAAACAUCGAUCAUGGGCACAAAAACCACUGCACGGGCGACACGUCAACGAGGUUAGCCAGGGACAUGUCGACACCAACGCGUCGAACUACUGGUUAACUUCGGGACAACUGUUUCCCGAAACGGAAGGUUUCCUCUUGGCCAUACAAGACCAAGUUAUUCCGACUAGAAACUACUUGAAGUGCAUUAUUUCGGAUCCUUCAGUACAGAGUGACAAAUGUCGAUAUGGAUGCCAAGUGACAGAAUCCAUCCAACACAUAACGGGAGGAUGUCAAACGUUUGCCCAAACUGAGUAUAAGGCACGUCAUGACUGCGUGGGAAACAUAUUACACCAAGAACUUGCAUUUAAGCUGAACCUCUUGAGAACGGACAAAGUUCCAUAUUACAAUUAUACUCCAGAGCCAGUUCUUAAAAAUGGCGAGUAUAAAUUGUACUGGGACCGAACUGUUCUCACCGACCAAAGAACUGUCAACAAUAGAUCAGAUCUUAUCCUGGUGGAUAAGCGACUAAGGAGAACCACGCUGAUUGACGUUGCUACAGGCAAAACAAAAAAUAUUUUACAAUUUUUUUUCAAAAAAUGAACAAUACAGAAGUUAUAGGCAUUUUUUGGUUUUUGGCCAAAAAUUAAUGAAAAAUUUAAAAAUUGUCCGAAUUAAAAAAAAAAAUUGUCGUGUAUUAAUCAUAAAGAGAAUAAAAAAAAAGUAUUAUAAGACAAGCUUAUAUUUCUCAUAGGAGAGUUAGGAAAAAAUAAAAAAGUUUAUAUCUAGGGGCACGUAAAAUUUAUUAUUUAUAAUCAUAUUUAAUUUUUUUACAAAAAAUCUAUGGCUUCACGAGAGAUUUAAUUCAUGUAAAAGUUGAUUGGCUUAAAGAGGUCUUUCUUUGGAAAAAAUACUUUUAAUUUUAUUUGCCAUACAGUGGGAGAAAAUUACAAAAAACCUCUAAUCAAAAAAUGCGAUUUUUUCGAAGCGUAUGGAAAAAGUUUUAUUUUUUAUUUUUGCAAUAGAUGUUCAUUUUGAAGAUAUAACCAAAAGUGUUUUAUAUUUUUUUUCAAAAAACAAACACUAAAAAAGUUAUAGGCAUUUUAAAAAUUGCCUAAUUGAAAAAAAAUGUCUUUGUGUUAUAUUAGUCAUAGCGACACAAUAAAAAAAUAACAAGAGUCCAAAGAAAAGAAAUACUGGAAAAUUUUGAAAAAUCACAACUUUUCUUACUAAAAACCCACUUAUCAAGCUCCACCACCACAGAACACCCAACUUUUGGAGAAUUCACACUUGAACCACCUCAUAUACAUACAUUUAUUUUUUCUAGGAAGAAUUUACACUUAUAUAAGUACAAAUCCUUCCUUAGUCUUCCUUUAAGUUCGACUUCCGAAUACUACUGCUAGGAUAUAAUGUCGUGUGUAGUGUAUGUAAUAAUUGUUGGCAAAAGUACCACCUACUACCCCCCACGUUGUGCUCAUAUUUUUUUAUAAUUAUGUGCCAUUUAGUAUGUUAUAACUUGUACUGUACAGUAUUUAACAAUAAAUUAAGGUUUAUAAAUGA
rnacentral:misc_RNA from 1 species